rnacentral:tRNA from 1 species
GCAUGGUGGUUCAGUGGUAGAAUUCUCACCUUCCAUGCGGGAGACCCAGGUUCAAUUCCCCGCCAAUGCA